rnacentral:rRNA from 1 species
UACGGAGGAUGCAAGCGUUAUCCGGAUUCAUUGGGUUUAAAGGGUGCGUAGGCGGAAUAAUAAGUCAGUGGUGAAAGCCUGCGGCUUAACCGUAGAAAUGCCAUUGAUACUGUUAUUCUUGAGUAUAGUUGAGGUGGGCGGAAUGUGUAAUGUAGCGGUGAAAUGCUUAGAUAUUACACAGAACACCAAUUGCGAAGGCAGCUCACUAAGCUGUUACUGACGCUGAGGCACGAAAGCGUGGGGAGCAAACAGGAUUAGAUACCCUGGUAGUCCACGCCGUAAACGAUGAUCACUCGUUGUUGGCGAUACACCGUCAGCGACUGAGCGAAAGCAAUAAGUGAUCCACCUGGGGAGUACGGCGGCAACGCUGAA